rnacentral:rRNA from 1 species
GUCUACGGCCAUACCACCCUGAACGCGCCCGAUCUCGUCUGAUCUCGGAAGCUAAGCAGGGUCGGGCCUGGUUAGUACUUGGAUGGGAGACCACUCAGAUCAUGAUAUCAGGGUCCUGAGAUC